rnacentral:rRNA from 1 species
UGGGGAAUUUUGGACAAUGGACGAAAGUCUGAUCCAGCCAUGCCGCGUGCGGGAAGAAGGCCUUCGGGUUGUAAACCGCUUUUGUCAGGGAAGAAAAGCGCUGGGCUAAUACCCCGGCGUCAUGACGGUACCUGAAGAAUAAGCACCGGCUAACUACGUGCCAGCAGCCGCGGUAAUACGUAGGGUGCAAGCGUUAAUCGGAAUUACUGGGCGUAAAGCGUGCGCAGGCGGCUUUGCAAGACAGAUGUGAAAUCCCCGGGCUCAACCUGGGAACUGCAUUUGUGACUGCAAGGCUAGAGUACGGUAGAGGGGAGUGGAAUUCCGCGUGUAGCAGUGAAAUGCGUAGAUAUGCGGAGGAACACCGAUGGCGAAGGCAGCUCCCUGGACCUGUACUGACGCUCAUGCACGAAAGCGUGGGGAGCAAACAGGAUUAGAUACCCUGGUAGUCCACGCCCUAAACGAUGUCAACUGGUUGUUGGGAGGGUUUCUUCUCAGUAACGUAGCUAACGCGUGAAGUUGACCGCCUGGGGAGUGCGGCCGCAAGGUUG